rnacentral:ncRNA from 2 species
GGCUAAAACUCUGGAGAGCGGCCCGCCAUGGCGCGGGGCCCACCGAAGGGGCGUGCGGGAAUACCUUCCCGUUAUCUCUCAGGUACCAAGGACAGAGGGGUAGGC